CGACCACGGGUUGCGCGAGAGACUGACGC
rnacentral:sRNA from 1 species